rnacentral:rRNA from 1 species
AUUGAACGCUGGCGGCGUGCCUAACACAUGCAAGUCGAGCGGUAACAGGUGUAGCAAUACAUGCUGACGAGCGGCGGACGGGUGAGUAACGCUUGGGAAUCUGCCUGUUAGUGGGGGACAACCCGGGGAAACUCGGGCUAAUACCGCAUACGCACUACGGUGGAAAGCCGGGGACCGCAAGGCCUGGCGCUAACAGAUGAGCCCAAGUCGGAUUAGCUAGUUGGUAGGGUAACGGCCACCAAGGCGACGAUCCGUAACUGGUCUGAGAGGACGACCAGUCACACCGGAACUGAGACACGGUCCGGACUCCUACGGGAGGCAGCAGUGGGGAAUAUUGGACAAUGGGCGAAAGCCUGAUCCAGCGACGCCGCGUGGGUGAAGAAGGCCUGCGGGUUGUAAAGCCCUUUUCAGUGGGGAAGAAAAGCCUCGAGCCAACACCUCGGGGUCUUGACGUAACCCAUAGAAGAAGCACCGGCUAACUCUGUGCCAGC